AUGACAUUUACUUUUAAAAAAAAAAAAGAAAAAAGAAAAAAAAGGAGUGCAUUUAUAUUUCGGCUUUCAAAACUUCAGUUACGUGCCGACAGCUUCGCAACUGCCUCUCUCUCUCUCUCUCUCUCUCGCUCUGAAUUCUCCUAUUUGUGCAUUUGAAAUGGAGAACGGAGACAACUGGUUAGCCCCAGACAAGCUCUACCACAUCCUCUUCUGCUUCUCCAUUACUAUUAUCGUCUCACUCCUCGCGACCCGAACCCGCUAUCCGUUUCUCCGCCGUCGGAGCAUCUGGGUUGGUUCCAUCGCUUCACUCGCUGCCGGCGCCGCCAAAGAGGCCGCCGACGAGUUUGGCUUCUUCAAAUCCGCCGGAGCCUCCACCAAAGACGCCGUUGCCGACCUACUCGGCAUUCUGCUCGCUGCUCUCGCUCUUUCCCUAUCUACAUCACUCUCUUUCCGCUCCAAACCCGAUCGAUUGGGUAAAGAUCCAGGAUUUGAGAUGGUUUGAUCCGUUAAUUGGGUCUCAAUGGGUUCGUGUAGCUGUGCAAUGGGGAGUAUUGAGGGCUCGGAAAGGAAGUAGUUGAUGCAGACCCAUCCAGGAGGACUAGAAAUCCAUUUUUUUGUCAUCUUUUGUAUAUUUGCCAUUUUUUUUUUGUAAAUUCUCAAACCAUAGUAAAGUGUAUUCAUUUUGUGAACCGUAGUCAUGUAUUGUAAUUAUAACACUUGGUGGUAUUUUGAAGUAAAAUGAGACUAUAAAAUUAUUUCAUGAUGAAAGGGUAAUGAAGUUGUAUUCCGACCAAUUAUAGAUAUCUUUCAACUAUAUUAUAUCAUGUUUUAUUGCCAUGAAUUCGGAAAUUGAUGGCAAAAUAGGUCCAGUAGAGAUUUGGCUCACAAUUAACACAGUUGGAGUCCAUUCCAGUGAGUUUUGGGGUCAGGGGCCUUGUUUCGGCCUGCUGAUCCUCACCAUCAACCGACCGAAACCCUAGGUUCGGCUGACCGAACCCCUUCCACUAGCCGACCGACACGCCUACAGUAAAAGUCCCGAGAGCAUGUUGAUUUCAAAAUCGUUUCAGCUAGCCGACCCUGUAGGUUAGCCGACUGAACUUGACCCUGUCAGCCGGUCGAUGAAGGCCCAUCAGCCGGCUGAUCAUCCCCUUUUGACCUGCAAUGUUUGACCAUCAUUGUAAGAUUUUGUUCUAGGUUAUUUUGAACCCCAGAGUGACCCUUAUGACAGUUAUGGACAUAGAAGGUGAAGAGUAUGACCUAGUUAACUUCAGGUUCGGGUAUGAACCUGGUUAACGGUUCGAACCCACGGGUUCGGGUCGUUACAUGUAGAGAAAAAAACCAAAAUGAUGUGGAUUAAGGUUGUGAGAAAGACAUAGUGGUACAUGGUUCAACCAAAGGUAAUGGUGGAAUAAUGGUACAAGAUUUUUGUGGAAAGCUCUAAAUAGCGGGGAGAAAAGUUUAAUUGAGUUGAAUAAAGCAAGGUGAUUAUAAAAUUGGGUUGAAAAAAAAAAAAAAAAAAAAAAAAAGGAUUGUAAAUCACUCUUGUAUCACUAAAAUCAAACUAUUACAAUUUCCUCGUGAUAUGAAUUUUAUUACUUGCUCACCAUUCGGUGGUGAACCCAACCUAUCCUUAAACCUAGUUUCCUUGUUAAAGAUAUGCAUGUUGUACCUUAAUAUUACUUGUUCACCAUUUGGUUUUAUGUGGCCGGAUGGAGAGGACGCAAAAGUAAAUAAAUAAGAUCUUAAUCUUUUAACUGAUAAAUUAUAGUAUAACUACUGCUAUUAUAUAUGUCCAUAUAUACACUAUAUAAUGAGUGGGAAGAGAUUGAGAGAGGUGGAGUAGUUAUAUAUAUAUGUGUGUGUGUGUGUAUCUCUGCAACUGAAGAGGGAGGUGCAUUUAUGUGUGUGUGUGUAUAUCUUUGCAACUGGAUUGUAUUUUGGGAAUUUGGAGCAACGUGCAUGUCCUCUACUUAGCUGCUAUAUUGUAAUGGUGACUUGAUGGAGGGUAAUAUUUGUAACAUUUUUGGAUACUAUAAGGUGAUUAUACAACAUUGCCUUAGUAUAGGGUUUUUAUAUGCACUAUGUAAAAGCUAGAGGGGUGUUUUUUUGCAAUUUACCCUAUAUGCUUAAAUUGAAUAUGUUACGUCACUACUAAAUAGCAAAUAGAAACCUAGAUAUAGUACUAUAGAAAAACCCACAAAGGGUUUUGAUAUUUCACAACCUAAAAAGAAGUUAAAAAGAAAAAUAAAUAUAGUUAACCCUAUUCAGUGUUUUCAUAUCUCCUCUUAAGCAAUGUUCAUCCACCAAUAUCAUACUCUCUCCCUAUAAAUAUAUAUAUAUAUAUCAUUUUUAGUAGCUAGUUUGAUAUGUAUAUUUGAAUUAUACAAAUGGUAACAUAUUUUCUUUUAUUUUUAAUCUGUAUGCGCCCUUCAGAUCUCCAUUGUGAAGUUCUCUCUGCUAUAUUGACCCUUCCAUUUUAUAACAUUCUCAAGUCUUCCAACGUGCAGGUCUGGUGAUGGCACCUAUGUAUUUCUGAGGCUAUGUGCCAUUGAAGGCUUGUCUGAAGUUUUUGGAGGAAAUGGUCUGAAUAUAUCAAUUGAUCACCUUAUGAGGCUUUGGGCUGUUGAAGGCUUAUCACGUGUAGUGCCAUCUAUCUCAGGCAGUUUCACAGCAGAGUAAGCACCCGCCCCAGCUAGUGUCCCAAGGAAGGGAGCAGUGAAAUAGACCCAUAUGGCUUCAAAGUUGUUUGCAGCUAUGGCUGGCCCCAGAGUUCUCACCGGAUUCAUUGAAGCUCCUGUUGCUUUCCUGUACCAUUAUAAAAAAGAGAAGAGGGCUCAAUAGUAAGAAAUCAUUCUUGAAAUUCUCUUCUUCUUUUCAUUUGUAUCUUUUUAGUCGUUCUGGAUGCUCAGGAUUUGAAAUGACUCUUCUUUAAAUCAGUUUUUUUUUUUUUUUUUUUUUUUUUUAUAUUUAUU